rnacentral:tRNA from 1 species
CAAGAAGUAGCUUACAACAAAGCACUUAACUUACAAUUAAGAAACGCCCGAACCUGGGCCUUCUUGA